UAAGUUAUCCUGUUGUUGCUGUGAGGGUUAUUGUUAAAGUGUUUAUGUUAACUGAAGCUGUUGCUGUGAGUUUCUUUGCUGUUGCCUAAUAUUGAUUUUAAUGUUGAUUUGGUAUAAUGUUGUUCUGAUGUUGAUUUGGUAACUGGUAAUUUGGAAAUGCUGUUGUGAUUUUAUUUUGAUUUUAAUAUUGAUUUAGUAUGUAACUGGUUCUCUGGCAAUGCUGCUUUGAUUUUGUUUUAAUUUUAAUAUUAAUUUGUUAUAAUACUGUUAUGAUUUUGAUUUGCUAACUAGAUCUCUGAAAGAACUUAUAAGUGGUAUCGAAUUAACCAUGAAAAUUUUGUAGCCAUCAGACAUGGAUGUACGUAUAGAUCUCUGAAUUAAAGCUUACUUGUGUAUAUAAGAUUCUUGAAAUGGACACCUAUAGAUACCACGGGCACUCUAUGUCUGAUUCUGGCAGCACAUACGGUACAUGUGACGAGAUUUCCAAUGAGAGACAAGUUUGUCACACUACUGAGCAAAGCAUAUAAUGUGCUGUUAUUUUAAUAUCAUGGAGUUCUUUCUCAAAUUUUUCUCUUGGUUAAUAUGAUUAUAGGAGCGUGAUCCAAUUGAGAGAGUGAAGAAGCUAUUAUUGGCUCAUGACAUUGCUUCUGAGAAGGAGCUGAAGGGUUGGGUUAGGUUAGGUAUGUUAAAUCCUGUCAUUUGCAAUUGAGAACAAAACAGGUAGACCUUGUUUUGUCAUUAGUUACUUUGUUGAUUGAUUUUUUUCUCUUUAAUGAGAUUUUGUUCUAAGCAAUGUUAGGAGAAAAUAGUUCUGUGUCGUCAUCGGUUACUGCUCUGUAAUCCAUUGCUGUUCCGUGCUCUCCUCUCCGCUUGCGUUCGCUACGAUGUCCCCCACUUGGUCUGCUGAGGUUCAGUUACGGGACAAAAUUUGUUUGACGACUUGGCUGAGGACAUUCUCGGUGGCAGCAGACUUGGAAACAAAUUCUGCGACUCUUCCAAGAGCCAAGUCCUUAGGAGUUCCUCAAUAGAUAAAGAGAGAGCAAACGAUGUUGCUGAAUAUCAAAGUUGUGUUACAUGUUGAUUGAGAAUGCUACUUGCUGCAGCAGGUUCUUAGUCGGUAAUGGCUUAGCUAGUGUCAACGUGUAUAGAUUUUAAACUUUUAA